CCUACGGGAGGCAGCAGUAGGGAAUCUUCGUCAAUGGGCGCAAGCCUGAACGAGCAAUGCCGCGUGAACGAGGAAGGUCUUCGGAUCGUAAAGUUCUGUUGAAGGGGAAAAAGAGCGGAGAGAGGAAAUGGUCUCCGAUUGAUAUUACCCUUCGAGGAAGUCACGGCUAACUACGUGCCAGCAGCCGCGGUAAUACGUAGGUGGCGAGCGUUAUCCGGAAUGAUUGGGCGUAAAGGGUGCGUAGGCGGCCUGCUAAGUCUGGAGUGAAAGGUACCGGCUCAACCGGUAUAGGCUCUGGAAACUGGCGGGCUAGAGAGCAGGAGAGGGCGGUGGAACUCCAUGUGUAGCGGUAAAAUGCGUAGAUAUAUGGAAGAACACCAGUGGCGAAGGCGACCGCCUGGCCUGUUACUGACGCUGAGGCACGAAAGCGUGGGGAGCAAAUAGGAUUAGAUACCCCGGUAGUC
rnacentral:rRNA from 1 species